rnacentral:rRNA from 1 species
UGGGGAAUCUUAGACAAUGGGCGCAAGCCUGAUCUAGCCAUGCCGCGUGAGCGAUGAAGGCCUUAGGGUUGUAAAGCUCUUUCGUGGGGGAAGAUAAUGACUGUACCCCAAGAAGAAGCCCCGGCUAACUCCGUGCCAGCAGCCGCGGUAAUACGGAGGGGGCUAGCGUUGUUCGGAAUUACUGGGCGUAAAGCGCACGUAGGCGGACUGGAAAGUCAGGGGUGAAAUCCCGGGGCUCAACCCCGGAACUGCCUUUGAAACUCCCAGUCUUGAGUUCGAGAGAGGUGAGUGGAAUUCCGAGUGUAGAGGUGAAAUUCGUAGAUAUUCGGAGGAACACCAGUGGCGAAGGCGGCUCACUGGCUCGAUACUGACGCUGAGGUGCGAAAGCGUGGGGAGCAAACA